CUCCAUGCCUAGGUGAAUCUGAGCUUUGAGCCCUGCCAUUGUGAACACAGGGCUUUUAAUAAGUUUGCUGAAACUGUCAAAUAUUAAAGAAUAAGCUUAUUUUAAUAUUAAAAAAAAAUAUGAAAAGGGGCACUAAGACCAAUAUGCACUCCAAAAUAUAUUUUCAGCAGCAAUGAUAAGAAUACAAUGAAUUAUUGAGAACAGUUGUUUUCUCCAAAGCAUGUUAGUCAUUUUAGCUAAAAGAAAGCAAUUUGGGUUUGUUCCAUUUCUGAAAACCAGAAGACUGAUGGAAUAAAAACUGAAAAUAUUUUCUAGACACUGAAUAUCAACCUAGAAGAGCAAUACAAAUUUCUGAGAUGAACAGGUAUUUAGAGGCAUCAAAAUUGUGUGGAGGUUGUAUACAAAGAGUGCAGUUAUGAUAAAGGAACCAGCCAUUCUUGAGCAACCUUGUAGCUAAUAUUUAAAAAUAACAACUAGUACUAUUAAUAAUAUUCUAUCAAUCAGUGCAUUCAGUAAUGCUGUAAUGCUUCUGUAAGCAUUUGUAAAGAAAUUGCUGAUUUAGAUUAACACUUUAGUUGCUGUUGGGAACUGGCUAGUAGCAUCAUCUGGAUAUGGAAGAAUAAUACUUGGAAGAAUAAGAACAUUGAUUUAUUCACUCAGUUUUUUGAGAAUAGAGGUGUGAGCUGCUUUGGUGAUGCUGAGAGGUCUUUUAUUAGCAAGACUAAAUGGAGGCCUGUGAACCAGCCAUAUGUGUCUCUGCAGAAAUCCGUGACAUGCUCCUUGCCUUUUGUCAUAGACUGAAGAAUAAGCAGAACAUCUCAUAUAGCUGCUGCAGCUUUACAGCCAUGGUAUAAGGGGAGGGAGUACGGACUCUUUUAAAUUAAUACACAAUGUGAAGGGAGCUGUGGCCAACAGAAGCUGAUUUCCAAAGGGUCUGGGGCCUGAAACUGAAAAGCUUCACCCACUUAAGCCCUGUACCCCUCUAGUAAACUAUGACUGGGAUUUACAAAUAUUUAAUAGCAAUUUCUGCAGAGCUCUUUCCAUCUUGCCAGGAUUUGUUUCAGAACCCUUUUAGAGGAGUAGGCGGCCAUCCAAAGGGAAGAGAAAAAUAUUGAGCUUGUCUUGCAGAAACUCAACAUCGUCUACCAGGCAUGGGAAAUGUUUAUAAUAUCAAAAAUAAUAGAUCAGCUUUUGAAAUCCAAAGAUGAUAUCUCUACAUGCUUCUAAACAGUAUAUGUAAAAGCUCCAGUGUGCCAGUUUGAUUUACACGGGGACAUUACCUAAAUUCAAGAACACUUGAGCUGACUGAUUAACUGCUGUGUAUUUAACAGCAGCUUCUAUUAAAUACACACAAUCUUGAAUGCUCAUCACUUACUUCUAUAUGAUGACUAUAUUUUCUCCAUGUUUAUUAUGAAAAAUAGUUGUAUAAAUGCUCUAGUAUAAAGUUGAAGAAUAUUAGUACCUUAACAGCUUGAAGUCUAGAAUCAAGAUAUAAAGUUCCAUAUUCAAAGUGAUUCUGUAUGCUGUACCCUUGCUAAAAUCAAACCUGUCUUUAAAUUUGAUUUAUUCUUGAACUGAAUAAGCAAAAAGGGAUAAAUUUUCUCAGUAGAAAAUGAAAUAUUUUGACCAAUAGCAUAUUAAUAUGAAUAAUAUCCACAUUCAAUAUUAUUUUAUAAUCAGUAUUAAUACAAAAUACAGUGUAUAUCUAAAAGAAAUACUGUGCUGAUCUAUGAAAAUAAUUGAUAUUUGAAAAAGCAUGAUGACCCAAAAUAUGAAAAAAACUACAACUGCUAAGUUUUUAAACAAAAUUUGUCAUCACUCCAUACUCCUACUCCUAGUAAGUUUGUAUCAAGCAAACCAUGUCGUUCUCUCUGGAAUGAAAUAUUCAUUUCUUAUCUGUUUUAAAAUCUAUCUGAAGAGCCAGUUUAUAUAUAUAUUAAAGCAAAACAUAGCUUCUAAAUAGUUUUGUUUUGAGCUCUGUAAAACAAACAAACAAAUAACAAAGGAUUUAAAUUUUUACCAUUUUACCAAAAAUGUUGAUGGAAUUUCAUGACAAUUUCAUAAGCAAUUUUGUCUGCACUUUAAAGUGCAAAAGUUACUUUUCUGAAAUCAGGGACCCAGCUUUAGCAUAGCUAUAUAAAGAACAUUUUAAUGUGUUUAUUAUAUAAUGUACAUAAUAUAGACUAUCACUGAUGAUUUACAAUGUAUAUAUGACAUGAGAUUCAGCAGAGAUGAUCAUGCAGCAGGUUGAUGUGGUCCAAGCAAUGAGCCAGAAAUGUGAUUCUCCCAGCAAUAAAGAUAAGUGGUAGAGAUAGAGAGUGGGUUGGCUUUAAAUAGUUUAUUACCUGGAUAAAUCUUAUAUUUUUAUGAUGGCAUCCUAGCUUGGGUGGCAAUCCUAUUAUAGGCCAAGGAAACAGCAAAAAGUGAGAGGACAGAAUUUUGGGACUCAGAGGGUUGUCUGACUCAAAGAGCUUAAUCAUAACAACAGCUGCAGCUUUGGUUUUGUGUAGCCCGAGUGCUCUUCAGAGUAUCCAAUUUCAUAUAGAUAUUUUAGGACUCAUCCUGUGAAAUGAAGGUUUUGAUUGGUUUCGUGGGGUUUUAUGUUUUCCUUUUGCUCAGGACUGCUUCCUGGAAACUAAAGGAAAUGUAAUUUUGACUUUAGUGAUUCUGAGGCAAUUAUUUUUCCCUCUCAUUCUAAGAUCUGUCAGCUCUCAUGAGAUCAGGGAACAGUAUGACAUUAACAACAUUCAGCAAGCAUUUUUGCAAAGUAUAACAUUUUUUAUUUAUUUAGCUUUGUUUCCUG